rnacentral:rRNA from 1 species
AUGCAAGUCGAGCGGGGUUUUCGGACCUAGCGGCGGACGGGUGAGUAAUGCGUAGGAAGCUACCCGAUAGAGGGGGAUACCAGUUGGAAACGACUGUUAAUACCGCAUAAUGUCUACGGACCAAAGUGUGGGACCUUCGGGCCACAUGCUAUCGGAUGCGCCUACGUGGGAUUAGCUAGUUGGUGAGGUAAUGGCUCACCAAGGCGACGAUCUCUAGCUGGUUUGAGAGGAUGAUCAGCCACACUGGAACUGAGACACGGUCCAGACUCCUACGGGAGGCAGCAGUGGGGAAUAUUGGACAAUGGGCGCAAGCCUGAUCCAGCCAUGCCGCGUGUGUGAAGAAGGCCUUCGGGUUGUAAAGCACUUUCAGCGAGGAGGAAGGGGUGAGUGUUAAUAGUACUCACCUUUGACGUUACUCGCAGAAGAAGCACCGGCUAACUCUGUGCCAGCAGCCGCGGUAAUACAGAGGGUGCAAGCGUUAAUCGGAAUUACUGGGCGUAAAGCGCACGCAGGCGGUUGGUUAAGUCAGAUGUGAAAGCCCCGGGCUCAACCUGGGAAUUGCAUUUGAAACUGGCCAACUAGAGUAUGUGAGAGGGGGGUAGAAUUCCAAGUGUAGCGGUGAAAUGCGUAGAGAUUUGGAGGAAUACCAGUGGCGAAGGCGGCCCCCUGGCACAAUACUGACGCUCAGGUGCGAAAGCGUGGGGAGCAAACAGGAUUAGAUACCCUGGUAGUCCACGCCGUAAACGAUGUCUACUAGCUGUUCGUGGUCUUGUACUGUGAGUAGCGCAGCUAACGCACUAAGUAGACCGCCUGGGGAGUACGGUCGCAAGAUUAAAACUCAAAUGAAUUGACGGGGGCCCGCACAAGCGGUGGAGCAUGUGGUUUAAUUCGACGCAACGCGAAGAACCUUACCUACUCUUGACAUCUAGCGAAGAUUGUAGAGAUACGAUUGUGCCUUCGGGAACGCUAAGACAGGUGCUGCAUGGCUGUCGUCAGCUCGUGUUGUGAAAUGUUGG